CAACCCUCAAGCUCUGCUUGGUAUUGGGUUUUCACCCUCUGUGGUGUACCUCAAAAUCAGUGGCGGUGCCACCUGGCUCCUAGUGUAGUAAAACUUUCUCGCUAUAGAGUUUGGGUGUUUGCUUGCCAGCAACCAUUAUUUUUUAUA
rnacentral:misc_RNA from 1 species